UGCCAUAAGCCAGCUAAUUUUAAAUUGCUACUGCAAAGAGAAAUUAUAAUAAAAAUGCAACUGCAAAUAUAGACUACAACUCCAUAUGGGAAAAUUUGAGCCAGCCAACGCUAUUCAGCAACGAUCUGGAAAAUACUUAUAGCCUCAACAAUAACUCCAUUGUUCAAUCACCAAUCACUGAACUAGGCUAUAAAUUUAACUUCUUGAUGUAUAAACUAUAAACAUCAAAAAGAAAUUACUUCGAAAAACGAGAACAACAAUCAAUUCUAUCAAUAAUCCAAAUAAGCAAGCAAAAUGAUAUCAGCUUUCAAUCAUCAAUUGGUGUUUGACACUCCGCUUCAAUCUGGGCAUUGAGUGGAAGUACUUUUAUGUGACAAGCACCUUCAAUUGAAAUCUCCUAAACUCAUUUACUUGCAGUAUAAACACGUGCACACACACACAAAUGCUUCCUUUAAACGCCAUUUCCAACCUGCACCUAAACAUAUAUAUAUAUAUAUA
rnacentral:misc_RNA from 1 species